UCCCUCUUAGCUCAGUGGUAGAGCGCGUCACUAGUAUCCUUCCAAAUGAAUAUGACGAGGUCAGUCGUUCAAGUCGGCUAGAGGGAA